GAAGUCGACAUUUUGGGUAUAACCCUUCUUCAGGACUGGAGAUUUUCGACAAGAAAGCUUGUGGUCUCAAUGAAAUAGCCCCACUGAAACUUUACUCAGAAAUUAACUCCAAAAACAAUGGAAAAGCGCAAAACGCAGAAGAAAGAAAGAUAUCAUCAUUAACAUUUAAGUUCAGUCGAGUCGCUAAGCACAACAGUUCAAGGAAGAACAUCAGCACACAUUGUUACUGCUGAAGUGACCCAGUGACUGUAGGUGAUUCAAGAUGCUGAAAAGUAUUGAUAACAGAUGUCAACAAGCAAUAUUGUUUUGGAUCACAGACAGAGUUGGAAAGUUCAGAUUAACAAUUAACAAGUCUUCAGUAACUCAAGAGAUUGGAUAAAGGAAAAACAGUCUUUCAGAAGGCACAGGGGAAAGGUCUUCAGCGAACAUUUAACUCUACAAAUACUGCACCACUAACAAGGUACAGGAUUUAAUUAUAGUUCGGAGUAGGACAUGAGGGAUAUGUUUUUGAGGUGAAGAGCAAGGAAAUUCGAGGUGUGGGAAUGGAUGCAGUACUUGGUAAGUUAAGGCCUGCGUUGAUCAUUCUUCAGUUAUUUACUCCAAAACCCUUUGUUGUGUUAUGUCUCAGUUAGAAUAUAAUACGUCUUUAAGAGUUGUUCUUAUGAUAUCAUUGCUGUAUCAGAACAUGUGAUCUGAGGGUAUAAAGAUCUCAGACUGCACCUCAAUAGAGGCUUCUUGAGACAUGACACACUGAAGGAAGUGUGAUGAUUGUAACUGUCACUUAAUAUUAGUCCAGACAAAGUGACAAAAAUUACUGUGGCUGUAAUAUUUGAACAUAUCUGAAACUGUAAUAAACCUUUGUUGAAUCUUUCAAUACCAUGUUCCUCACAUUUAGUUCUUUUUACCAAGAGUUAACAUAAUCAUUGCAUAUUAGGUACAACCACC